rnacentral:lncRNA from 10 species
UUUUGGCAACCUUCCUCCUUAUUUCCCCUUCCCCAGUGAAAAGGAGCUACUAAUCUAAUAGUGAAAAUUCAAGAUGUUAAUUGGCCCAUGUUCUUGGCAGCCAGGGUCACCAAUGGAUUCUGUUCUGCCUCCUCCACACACAUAGCUUGAUGGAUUAGUUGAGCCAGAACCAGCUCUGCAGAUCUGCUCAUUUCAUUUAUCCUGUCUCCUUGAUUUUCUCCAUGUAGCCUGAUAGAGGUUAGGAUCCUGUGAUUUUAAUGAGCAAGGAAUUGGUGGCUCUUUGAGGCCAGAAAUCUAAACCUCAACCUCAUUCUCAGCCUAUGGAUUACCUUCCAUGUGAAAGAGAGUAUUGUCAUAAACACUGAGUAUACAGUGGUGACCAAAGCAGACUCAGUUUCUGUUUUCAGGGAACAGUCUGGUAGAAAACAGUAAGCAACUAAGCAAAUCAUGUAGGAAAAGGCAAGGAUACUGUGACAGAGAAUAGUUAGGAAGCCAGCCAUGUGGUGAGUACAGUUGACCCUUGAACAACACAGGUUUGGACUAUGGGGUCUACUCAUAAUAAUACAUGAAUUUUCUCUGUUUCUGCCACCCCUGAGACAGCAAGACCAACCAGACACUCCUUUUCCUCCUUGUCCUCAGCCUACUCAACGUGAAGACAAUGAGAAGCCCUUUGUGAUGAUCCACGUCCACCUAAUGAAUAAUUGGGUGGUUCCUAUUGGUUUGUCUUCAAGUUCACUGAUUCUUUGCUAUCGAC